rfam:Folsomia candida strain VT population Fcan01_Sc002, whole genome shotgun sequence.
GGUAGCGUGGCCGAGUGGUCUAAGGCGUUAGAUUUAGGCUCUAAUCUCUUCGGAGGCGAGGGUUCGAAUCCCUCCGCUGCCA